UCUAGUUUUGCUGCAGCUCUCUUCAAGUUAGUUGCCUGCCGAGGGGAGGUUAGACGGAAACCUCAAAACGUUAAAACAGAACGAUCAGCAGAGGUUGAACAACAAAUAACUGUUUGGAGUUUCCUGGAAAUGUACAGAGGUGGCUAAAGUAUACACGUUCUUCGCUCAAGCAAUACCCAGACACAGGGAAUACCUCGGCUCUGACAUGAGCAGGAAUGUUAACUGCAGUCCUUUCUGAGCAACAUGCCGGGAAGAACGUGGAUGGAGAUAAACACGCCAGUUUGUAUCAGAAAUGUGAUUGAAACUGUCCAGGAACGCCGCUCACCUCGACAAAAUACCGACGGCAGAUACUGAUCCAGGACCUGUGCUGCGGCCGAUAAACAUGCUCUUCUGCUGACACCUAAAGGACAAACUGGAUUCUGUAGCUGGAAUACAAGAAUGAUUUUUUUUCUUACCUAUAAAGAAAAUAAAAGACAAUAACAGCAAGAUGUUUAUAUUCAAAUAUUCUUUAUUAAAAAUUACAAUAAUUCACAGUUCAUUUGGGAAUUACAGCACAUAUUUAAAUGUGGUGAACAUUUAUUAAAACAUAUUGCUUUGGUUAUACUAGUACCCACAUACAUAAAAAUAAUGUAAACCAACAGGUCCACACAUCAAGGGAAAUUUUUUAAAAGAAGUCUAUGUAUUUGACUGCUUUUUAAAAAAAAAAAAAAAAUUUACUCAAUUGAAAGUGAAAUAUACACAUUUAAAUUGUCAAACGACGUGAUUUUCAAGGAACAAAAUAUAAAGUCAAAUACAGUAUAGGUUUCAUUUGGUCACCAAAAAACAAUGAAGUGUCAACUGCGGUGUAAAUAAAGCUAGAAAAAGGCUUAAAAAUAGAGUCUAUAAAACAUUUAUACAUGUACAGAGAAUGUCAUGAAAGCCUCUGUUAGUGCAGAAGUAUUCAGAAUCUGCAUAAUUCAUCGAGAAAUGACAGAUAAAUAAGUUAUGGACAAAAUACUCAGAGACUCCGCUCAGCGAUGGCGGCCGUGUUAACAACGCGGGAUGAUUAAUCUGCCACGCUCGCUUAAAUUUUAAGAUCCUGGCGUCGACAGGAAGCAACGACGACGCAGAUCACCACAGUAACUUCAUAUUGUAAUUCUCAGCCCUCCGUCUUUCACAGUGGUUUCUUGGAAGAUUCAGUUUCCAAUUUUGCACAUUAUUUAGUGUAUUUUAAAAGAAUCAAGGUGAACAUUCAUAUUAAUGUCAGCUGGAGCACUGUCGCCGUGAAAAAAACAAACCCAAAAAACUGCUCUCGUGAAGAAAGAGAUGCGUUUGAAAAUGAACGUACAAAAAAAAAAAAAAAAAAA